AGUUUGGAAAGGAGAAUGCAGCACUGCUGGCUAUGGAGCCUAUGGACUAAAGUGGGGGAGAGACAAGAGCAGUGCUGUGACGCUCAGGUGGACCCCGCUAGAACCAUGGUGCAGUUGGAAUCUCUUAAUCACAGGGAAGCUGCAGUUGUGAAUCUAGGGACCUAGAUAGGAGGAGACUUGGGGGGAAAAGACUCUCCAGAGAAAUCAAAAGCCACAGUAGAGCUGACGGAGCUCCCUGGCUCUGAGGUUACUGGAAGUGGAACCAGGAACCCGAAGCUCUGGAUUGAGGGUGAAAUUGGAAACCCCAAGAGGGAAGGGUUUGGGCCUGAAAGGGCUGAAGUAGACUGUAUUUCUUAAAGACAUAAUACACUGGACACUGGGAAGGGGAACUUAGUUGAAGUACUCUGUGCUGCUAGCAUGUUAUUGGGAGAUCCAGGUGGGAAUGGAUAGCGGGGUGCCAGCAAGGACAUGCUUUACUAUGCAGUGGUGUACUCUGGGGUGGGACUCUGCCCUAGAGCCCUUCAUGCCUGUAUUCUCCCCUAUGGGCUGCACUGCGUCUUCCAUGAUCCACUGUGGUGACUCCCUGUGGCUGAGGUGCUGCAUUCCCAAACUCCCAGGGAUGCCUUUCCAAUUGCACAUGGCAUUUCUUUGCUCAGUUAAUUUUUUCAAAGGGAAUUCUAGAGCUGGAUUGGAUGCAGAUGGAACAAGUGUAAUUACCUUCUGCAUUGCCCCAGGCUGCAAAUGUUCCUUCUCAUGGGCCAUUUAAGACCACAGCUACUUCAGCUGAAAUCCUGGAGAUGCUGCUUUGUCCUGUUGGUGCACUGGGAAGUCCCCAAAGUCAUCACCCAGAGAUUCCAGGGGAUUUGUGUCUGAAUAAGCUUCCUAAGAAGAAGAAAAAUGGGUCUCUCCUAAACCAGAUGCUGAGGAUAAAAUGCAGGAGGCUCAUCUGUCUAUGUACGCAGGCAAAGGAUGGACAGUAGCACAAUGUCCAGAAAAAGAGCAGUCGGAGAACGUCUCCACAACAGGGCACCCCAGUGCUGAUGAAGGUGCAUCCGGCCACAUCUCCACCCAGUGAUACAGGGAAAAAGAAGUACACCCAGCAUCCGUUCCUUGCCAACCUGGCAGAGAAGC